UGGUAAUUAGUUUAAACAAAAUCAAUGAUUUCGACUCAUUAGAUUAUGGUACCCACCAUAAUUACCAA